UCAUCAGUUACUUUGUUUUUG
rnacentral:piRNA from 1 species